rnacentral:rRNA from 1 species
CAACCUGCCUAUCANAGGGGAAUAACAGUGAGAAAUCACUGCUAAUACCGCAUAUGCCAUAGGAAUCGCAUGAUUCUAGUGGGAAAGGAGCAAUCCGCUGAUAGAUGAGCUUGCGUCUGAUUAGCUAGUUGGUGGGGUAAAGGCCUACCAAGGCGACGAUCAGUAGCCGGACUGAGAGGUUGAACGGCCACAUUGGGACUGAGAUACGGCCCAGACUCCUACGGGAGGCAGCAG